rnacentral:rRNA from 1 species
AUUGAACGCUGGCGGCAUGCCUUACACAUGCAAGUCGAGCGGCAGCGCGGGGGCAACCCUGGCGGCGUGCGGCGAACGGGUGAGUAAUGCAUCGGAACGUGUCCUCUUGUGGGGGAUAACCAGUCGAAAGACUGGCUAAUACCGCAUGAGAUCGAGAGAUGAAAGCAGGGGACCGCAAGGCCUUGCGCGAGAGGAGCGGCCGAUGCCGGAUUAGCUAGUUGGUGGGGUAACGGCCUACCAAGGCGACGAUCCGUAGCUGGUCUGAGAGGACGACCAGCCACACUGGGACUGAGACACGGCCCAGACUCCUACGGGAGGCAGCAGUGGGGAAUUUUGGACAAUGGGGGCAACCCUGAUCCAGCCAUGCCGCGUGUGUGAAGAAGGCCUUCGGGUUGUAAAGCACUUUCGGCCGGAACGAAAUCGCGCGAUCUAAUAAGUCGCGUGGAUGACGGUACCGGAAGAAGAAGCACCGGCUAACUACGUGC